rnacentral:rRNA from 1 species
AGAGUUUGAUCAUGGCUCAGAUUGAACGCUGGCGGUAUGCUUAACACAUGCAAGUCGAACGGAAACGAUACUAGCUUGCUAGUAGGCGUCGAGUGGCGGACGGGUGAGUAACGCGUAGGAAUCUGCCUGAUAGUGGGGGAUAGCCCGAAGAAAUUCGGAUUAAUACCGCAUAAUCUAUUCGUAGUAAAGUGGGGGACUUUCGAGCCUCACGCUAUCAGAUGAGCCUGCGUAAGAUUAGCUUGUUGGUGGGGUAAAAGCCCACCAAGGCGACGAUCUUUAGCUGGUCUGAGAGGAUGAUCANCCACAUCGGGACUGAGACACGGCCCGAACUCCUNCNNNAGCCACCAGUGGGGAAUAUUGGACAAUGGGGGCAACCCUGAUCCANCAAUACCGCGUGUGUGAAGAAG